AUUCCAGCUCCAAUAGCGUAUAUUAAAGUUGUUGCAGUUAAAAAGCUCGUAGUUGGAUUUCUGUUCUCGAGGAUCGGUCCGCCUCACGGUGAGCACUGGUUUUUCUUGGGGACAUCCUCUCGAAGGCGGGUGGUGCACUUAAUUGUGUGCUGCUUGGAUUCGGGACCUUUACUUUGAAAAAAUUAGAGUGUUCAAAGCAGGCGUCGGCUUGAAUACAUUAGCAUGGAAUAAUGGAAUAGGACUUUGGUUCUAUUUUGUUGGUUUCUAGGACCGAAGUAAUGAUUGAUAGGGACAGUUGGGGGCAUUAGUAUUUAAUUGUCAGAGGUGAAAUUCUUGGAUUUAUGAAAGACUAACUACUGCGAAAGCAUUUGCCAAGGAUGUUUUCAUUG
rnacentral:rRNA from 1 species